UCUCCCCUACAGGUAAUGACUGCAGAGACAGAGAGGAAAGACACAGGAAAACAUAGACGUUGGCAGCGUUUUAGUGUACGUUGGGUGAACUGGACUAAGAAAGAUUGAAAGAGAACGGGGGAGAAGUCGCAUCCAUCAGGGAAAUCUGCCGAAAGAGUUCAGGAGUCAAGGGGCCGGGAAGCAGCAGUGUGUGUGUGGGACGGCUUGCAUACCUCAUUAUCACUACCUGUAGGCUCAGCUCUGGGAAAGUGUCGGCUGUAGAUGGACCGGGAAGAUUAGCUGUAAGAGGGACGGACACACACACACACACACUUACAGAUCUUUCCAACCAGUGAUUUGAUGAGCGGAUAAAGAGAGGAGGAACGAGGGAAGGAGAGAUGAAUCAGGACAACACCGCAGAGGAAUGAGAUUGAGAGAUAGGAAAGAGGAACAAAGCAGUUAGGACCCUCACCCAGAAAACUGCAAGAUCCAGACCAAGACUGAACCCCCUGAAGCCCUGAUUCAGACCAAAUAUACCCCAAAGUCCCAGACUACAAAGCAGGCUGCCUGUUUGAAUGUAAUGAAGUAGAGAAAAUGUCGCAUUUAUUUCAAACACCCAAGUUUUAAUCUUAUUCAUGUACAUAUUUAGUAUCGCCACAUCAACCAGUGACCAGGCAGAACGAUUAUUUUUCUUACAUUUAUAUCACAAUUACAUCAAAUUUCAGCAAA